rnacentral:lncRNA from 1 species
CCCCGGCCCGGGCACUGAUGCUUUGUAAAUCACGGCUGCGGGGAGCCAGGGAUUGCUGAGGAGGAGGGGUGAGGAGGUGGUUUCCAGCUGAGCGCUGCAGAGAUGGGUUUCCUUUCGAAAAUAUACCCCUUUUUCCCCACUGACGCGGGCGGACCGGGAAGCCCUUUUUUUGCCGUGAGUUUAAUUUCCCGGGUUCCUUUGUUUGCUGCGGGGAUUUACAUGAGGUUGGAGCCGCGAUAACGUGCCGGAGCGCCCCGUCGUGCCAGCGCUCCCGCUCCACCCAGCUCAGGAUCUGUAGGCGUCCGGCGCGGCAGUCCCCAGACAAGACCUCGGCAGUGUAAAUCUGGACAACACGGUGCAGCCCGGGGUGCAAACACCGUGCGGGGGAACCUCCCGCCGCCUCCUCUUGC